AAGCCCAACCCCCAUUCUCAGCAUCAUCUACAAAUGACAGACUCUGUUGAUUUAGCUUCUUUUGCAUUCUCGUCAGAGCACACUUGGUCCUCCCACACAUCCUCACAGAAAAACUAAGGACAUAUAUUUUGCCUGAGGUUCUUCUACAAUCCGAGGGUCAACUAUAUAACAUGAUGCAGCUUUAUGUAGGGCUGGUGUUCACUAUUUACUUUGGCGUUUCCUCGGGGGAUGAAGUCAAUCAGGAGCUGAAAUCAGAAAAUGGGAUAGAAGAGCAACAAGCCUCCUUAAAGUGUACUUUCAAAACAAGCAGCAGUUAUGCUGACCUUUACUGGUAUCGCCAGUAUCCUGGGUCAGCUCUUCAGUUUAUCCUCUACAACGGGAACAGCAACCGCAAAGCAGAAUUUGCCGAAGUGCGAUUUGACUCAACUGUUGACAAAUCCGCAGGCACAACAGUUUUGACCAUUUCAGAAUUAAUUCCUGAAGACUCUGCCGUCUAUUACUGUGCGCUGGAUCCCACAGUGGUACAUUAAUGGCAACGCUAAUUCAAAAACCUGCAAAGCUAGAAGAAGUGAAUUGGCUAACCUCAACAGGAAAUACAUCUCAACAUAUUGUUUACAGAUCUGGCUGCAGUCCAAUGCAUCUGUAGUGUGUCUACACUGAAUAUAUUACAGUUCGUGGUGUA